GGCCGAUGCCACUGACAGUGCGUGAAGUUAAGAAUAUCAGGCGGUCUCCCUUCCAAGUAUUACCCAAGCCCAACGUUGCUACUACGGUGAUCGGACGAGAACCGGCGUGUUCAACGUGACCGUCUCCUUUGUAAUUACUUUCCGGGCCCAACUUU